rnacentral:rRNA from 1 species
GACGAACCGUGCGAACGUUGUUCGGAAUCACUGGGCUUAAAGGGCGCGUAGGCGGACAGUCAAGUCAGGGGUGAAAUCCCACGGCUCAACCGUGGAAGUGCCUUUGAUACUGACAGUCUCGAGGGAGGUAGGGGCGUGCGGAACUUCCGGUGGAGCGGUGAAAUGCGUAGAUAUCGGAAGGAACGCCGGUGGCGAAAGCGGCGCGCUGGACCUCUUCUGACGCUGAGGCGCGAAAGCUAGGGGAGCAAACGGG